rnacentral:rRNA from 1 species
GAUCAAGCGAAUAAGUGCAUGUGGUGGAUGCCUUGGCGAUUACAAGGCGAAGAAGGACGUACAAGCCUGCGAAAGCUCCUGGGGCUGGCAAUGACUUUGAUCAAGGGUGUCCGAAUCGGACAACUCCCACAAGGAGUGUCACAUUCUGAAUACAUAGGGAUGAGGAAGCGAACCCGGUGUGAACGAAACAUCCAAGUAGCCGGAGGAAAGAAAUCAACCGAGUUUCCCAAAGUAGUGGCGAGCCGAAAUAGGAACAGCCUGCAAGUAAUAAUCAAACUGUUAGCGGGAAGCCUCUGGAAAGUAUGGCGCCGCUUCAGUGGGUAUAACGAAAGCCCCGUACGCGAAAACGGAUUGGUGGUACUAAGCUUGCGACAAGUAGGGCGGGGCACGAGGAAACCUUGUCUGAACAUGGGGACCAUCCUCAAGGCUAAAUACUCGUAAUCGACCGAUGAUGAACCAGUACCGUGAGAAGGCGAAAAAGAACCCCGGGAGGGG